rfam:Crenarchaeota archaeon 13_1_40CM_3_52_4 13_1_40cm_3_scaffold_4238, whole genome shotgun sequence.
GGUGGUGGGGGACUGGGAAGCUGGUCGUUUCCUGUUACCCGAAAUCGACCUAUGCGGGAGUCCGCUGUCAACCGUGAAACUCUGCCCUAACAGGUCGGCGGCGGAGGAGCGCUCUCUGAAGAGAGGGUUGCUAUCUUCUCACGGUCGAAUCCGGCGAGGCCCGGAAGGGAGCAGUCGUAAGGUCGACGUUCGACGCAGUUGGGAUCCCAGGGUCGAGACGACGACUGGGACACCCUGCCUGGAAGAGAUGCCCAUCACC